GAUGUUGGGUUAAGUCCCGCAACGAGCGCAACCCUCGUCGUUAGUUGCUAACAGUUCGGCUGAGAACUCUAACGAGACUGCCUACGCAAGUAGGAGGAAGGUGAGGACGACGUCAAGUCAUCAUGGCCCUUACGACCAGGGCUACACACGUGCUACAAUGGGGUAUACAAAGAGCAGCAAUACGGUGACGUGGAGCAAAUCUCAAAAAUACCUCCCAGUUCGGAUUGUAGUCUGCAACUCGACUACAUGAAGUUGGAAUCGCUAGUAAUCGUAGAUCAGCUACGCUACGGUGAAUACGUUCCCGGGUCUUGUACUCACCGCCCGUCACACCAUGGGAGUUGAUUUCACUCGAAGCAGGGAUGCUAAGAUAGCUACCUUCCACAGUGGAAUCAGCGACUGGGGUGAAGUCGUAACAAGGUAACCGUAGGAGAACCUGCGGUUGGAUCACCUCCUUUCAGA
rnacentral:rRNA from 1 species